UACAGAGGUCCCGAGCGUUGUUCGGAUUCACUGGGCGUAAAGGGUGCGUAGGUGGUCGGGUAAGUUUGAUGUGAAAUCUCCGGGCUUAACCCGGAAAAUGCAUUGAAUACUAUUCGGCUGGAGGGUUGGAGGGGGGACUGGAAUUCUCGGUGUAGCAGUGAAAUGCGUAGAUAUCGGGAAGAAUACCAGUGGCGAAGGCGUUCUGCUGGGCCGUUGCUGACACUGAGGCGCGACAGCGUGGGGAGCAAACAGG
rnacentral:rRNA from 1 species